GACGAACGCUGGCGGCGUGCCUAAUACAUGCAAGUUGAGCGAUGAAGAUUGGUGCUUGCACCAAUUUGAAGAGCAGCGAACGGGUGAGUAACGCGUGGGGAAUCUGCCUUUGAGCGGGGGACAACAUUUGGAAACGAAUGCUAAUACCGCAUAACAACUUUAAACAUAAGUUUUAAGUUUGAAAGAUGCAAUUGCAUCACUCAAAGAUGAUCCCGCGUUGUAUUAGCUAGUUGGUGAGGUAAAGGCUCACCAAGGCGAUGAUACAUAGCCGACCUGAGAGGGUGAUCGGCCACAUUGGGACUGAGACACGGCCCAAACUCCUACGGGAGGCAGCAGUAGGGAAUCUUCGGCAAUGGACGAAAGUCUGACCGAGCAACGCCGCGUGAGUGAAGAAGGUUUUCGGAUCGUAAAACUCUGUUGGUAGAGAAGAACGUUGGUGAGAGUGGAAAGCUCAUCAAGUGACGUUAACUACCCAGAAAGGGACGGCUAACUACGUG
rnacentral:rRNA from 1 species